UACGUAGGUGACCAGCGUUGUCCGGAUUUACUGGGCGUAAAGAGCGCGCAGGCGGUCGUUCAAGUCGCGUGUGAAAGCCCCCGGCUCAACUGGGGAGGGUCACGCGAUACUGAUCGACUCGAAGGCAGGAGAGGGUAGUGGAAUUCCCGGUGUAGUGGUGAAAUGCGUAGAUAUCGGGAGGAACACCAGUGGCGAAGGCGACUACCUGGCCUGUUCUUGACGCUGAGGCGCGAAAGCUAGGGGAGCAAACGGG
rnacentral:rRNA from 1 species